rnacentral:lncRNA from 1 species
GGGAACUCCUCCAUUCAUCUAUUGAUGGAACUUUAGCUUGCAUCCAUGUCUUGGCUAUUAUAAAUAAUGCUGCAGUGAACAUAGGGGCACAUAUAUCUUUUCUAAUUAGAGUUUUUUGCUUUCCUUGGAUAAAUAUCCAGGAAUAGAAUUGCUGGAUCACUUGGUAUUUCUAUUUUUCAUUUUUGGAGGAAAUUCCAUAACGUAUAUAUAUAUAUAUAAGACAUGGUGACACGGCUUCCUCUCAGAUGCGCAUCACUCAAAGCCCUGUUUGCCUGCAUCCUGGCAUGCUGCUGAUCUGGACUACCAGUGUCUCUGAAGGCCACCAGAGGAGCAGACCACAUAGCUCUGCUGUCUGGAAAAAGUAGGAAAUGCCUUGGUAGUGGCGGUGCACGGGAUCAGAUGCUGGCCAUCUGGAGGGUGCAGAGUGUACAAAGCUCUGCAGGUCCCAGGCUGUCCCCACAGAAGCGUAUGGGUCUGGGUGAAUACAUGAGUGUGCGCACUUCCAUGCUAAAGAGGGCUGUUAUGCUCCAAUCUGGCCAAAGCACUGGAACUGACUCCUCUUCCCAUACCAGGACAUGCCAAGUGGCUUCCUGUUUGAAGGGCUCUCCGAUGAGGAGGAUGACUUUCACCCAGGCCAUUCCUCUGGGACCUCCCCAAUGUCCUCAGGCGUCCAGUCAGGGACGCCCAUCACCAACGAUCUGUUCAGCCAAGCCCUACAGCAUGCGCUGCAGGCCUCCGGGCAGCCCAGCCUUCAGGUCAGUCUUCCCACUCCUGGUGUCCACGCGGCUCUUUGUCACCUUGGACACUGAGCUUUUUGUGCUCUGUGGAGGCCCUUCCCACUUGGCCUGCUUUGCUCCAGGACAGCUGGGCCGUGACAGUGUGACAGGAGAGGAUGCCCGCAGCAAGGGCGGUUGUCCCUGUGGCUUCCACUCCUGCACCCAGUGA